rnacentral:lncRNA from 10 species
UUCUAUUGAAGUUACAUUUGCAUUGAAAUUGAUUUUACAUUUUCUGUGAAAUCAUUAAACCACCUACUAUAUAGUAAAUGAUUUAUGCUAUAAUUUGAGAGCAGAAUCUAUGUUGAAUUACUGAAUCAACUUGGGAGUAGGACUAGAAACCAAAUCAUCUUUAUUUAAAAAGCUAACACUGUCUAUGUUUACUUGAGGGCUGAAAACUUGCACAGCUUCAAAGAAAAUAGGCUAUGUAUAAGAAUUUUUCUGGGGUAGAGAGAGGGGGCGAAAGUUUUAGAAGUGUACCUAGAUUAUUUAUAACCUAUUCUGGUUUAUAGCUUGCUGCUGCGUCAAUUCUGUGAUGCUGAAAAAGGUGCAAAGUCCACUAGAUACACCAUGAAUUGCUCAUCUUGGUCUCUCGUAUUGAGAAGCUAAUUAGAGAUAAUUGGAUUAACAUUAUUUUUCCUAAAUCAAAGUAUUCUGAUACUCCUCUUUCCUAGUUUUAUCUUUCUUUUGAUCAUAAGGAAAUAAAUGUAUCCCUAACUUGUAACAUUUGGGAUCUUCAUUCUCUUUAAUUUUCAUUUGCUUUUUUUGUGCUUUCCUCGCCUCUAGCUUUCCUUACCAUGAUGUUUAAGACUGCUCAUCAUCUGGGCACAAUCAUGACCUCCUUUGUGGCCAUUAGUACUGUCCACAUCUUCAUCUCCUUUCUCCUGAGUGUCUCUGAGACAUACAGCUAAACUGAAUGUCUCAGAGCUCCUCAUAUAGGCUAUUGUAUCUGUUGUCUGUGACUGGUUGUUGCUUCCUGCCUCACAACCCAUGACACUUCCCUGUCUAAACAAAUAAGUAUUACCCAUACUUCAAGGCUCAGUUAAAAUAUUACUCCUUCAUGGCCAAGUGUGGUGGCUCACACCUGUAAUCCUGGCACUUUCAGAGGCUGAGGCGGGCAGACCACUUGAAGUCAGCAGUUCGAGACCUGACCAACAUGUUGACACCCCCUCUCUACUAAAACAUUAGCCAACCGUGGAGUGCACUGUGAGCAACUUGAGGGGAGGAAGAAUUUUGACCUAAUAUGUUUAUCCUCCCUGACAUCCAUGGAGUAACUUUUAUGAAAUAAGUAUUCGGGGAGGCACAAUAGUACAUGCUUAUCUGGUGAGUGAAGGAGGAAAGAGUCACUAAAAAUGUUUUUUAUAUGAUUCAUUGACGAAGAAGAAACACUGAAUUGCCAGUUUUUUAUAUGAUCUGUUUCUUUUAAUUAUAUAGAAACAGCCUUGGUCAAGUAGGCCCUACAGGCUGGAGUCGAUGCUGACUAUAUUGAUAUGAUAUGUGGAGUGUGUGAGACAGGAUGCUUAGCUCUAAUUAAUCUGAAACCCAGACUGACUGGCUUAAAUAAAAGGGCAAAUUUUUAAUAUACUUUGCAAGAAGUCUGGAGGUGGCGUAGCUCCAGGAUCAAUUAAAUUCCUGUUUCGAUGACAUCAAAGACCUAGGUUCUUUGCUUUUAGCUUGUUGCCUUUGUUCUCCUGCUAGCUAAAAUCUUCAUGAUUUUUAGUGGUUCUAGUAAUCGUACGCAGGCACAAUAAUAUCGAAUGGAAAAAGAGGACAGGUAUUCCUGUGUUUUUGACAGCAACAAAACCUAUCCCAGGAGCCUGGCAGAAGUGUCCUCUUUAUUUCUUACUAGCCAGGGUUGAGUCACAUGACUAUCCCUAAACCACUUCUGAGGAAGGCAUUGGGAUUACCAUGUUGGAUUAAGCUUUGAGGACUUAACUCUGAUUUUGGAAUAGGAUCACCCUCAUCUCUGGAAGGUGUGUACCACAGUGAAAUCAGGAUUCUGUUAUUAUGGGCAAAAAUAUGUAAUGACUUUUGGAAGGCAACAUCAGUGUUGGGCAUAAAGAGAAUACAAAUAUUCCUUUAUCUAGAUUGGUGAUUAUCAACUGUCAGCAUGGGGAGGAAGGGACAAUUUUGGCCUCCCUACCAACAGGGAGCAUUUGCAAUGUCUAGAGACAUUCUUGGUCACAUUUGUGGGGGUGGGAGAGGCUGCUACUGGUUUUGGGUGAGUAGAGACCGGGAAUGCAUCUUGCAAUGCACAGGACAGCCCCCCACCACAACAAAGAGUUAUCUUGCCCCAGAUGUCAAUAGUGCUGAGGUUGAGAAUUCCUGACAUGGAUAUAAUUGCCCUCCGGGGCUGACACAUUGUCAAAAAAUCUUACUAUUUAUUUAUAACGUUGAUUUGAGACAGUGAGGACCAGUGUUCAUAUAUAUUUUACUUUGGAGGACUAAUACACCAAUAAAUUAUCAUCCAUUAAAACAAUAGCAAAAAUAUUUCAUCAAAUUGCCUUGCCAUCCACUUAAUAAGACCCUAGGGAAGUGAAUGUGACCUAUAACAGAGUAGGAUUUGACAAUGAGACUGAAGUCAAAGAAUAAAUUCAGGAGACCCAACUAUGGCACGUACAAUCACUAUUUCCUUAAUGCAGUAAAAAAUGACCAAGGGCCAAGAAAAUGGAGAGAAAUACUAUCUAUGCUACUAUUUACAUAGUAGGCAUCACCCAAGGAAAAGUAUAGCAUAUAUUAUAAUAAUUUUCCAGAUUAGAAAACUG